GAACUGAAGAGUUUGAUCCUGGCUCAGAUUGAACGCUGGCGGUAUGCUUAACACAUGCAAGUCGAACGGUAACAGGCCGCUGUGAUCCCUUCGGGGUGAACUUGGCGCUGACGAGUGGCGGACGGGUGAGUAAUACUUAGGAAUCUGCCCAGUAGCGGGGGACAACUCGAGGAAACUCGAGCUAAUACCGCAUACGCCCUACGGGGGAAAGCGGGGGAUCUUCGGACCUCGCACUAUUGGA
rnacentral:rRNA from 1 species